rnacentral:rRNA from 1 species
GACGAACGCUGGCGGCGUGCCUAAUACAUGCAAGUCGAACGAACCGCGACUAAGUGCUUGCACUAAGUCAAGGUGAGUGGCGAACGGGUGAGUAACACGUGGGUAACCUACCUCAUAGUGGGGGAUAACAGUCGGAAACGACUGCUAAUACCGCAUAGGACAUAGGAUCACAUGAUCCAGUGAGGAAAGGUGGCGCAAGCUAUCGCUAAGAGAUGGACCCACGGUGCAUUAGCUAGUUGGUAGGGUAAAGGCCUACCAAGGCGAUGAUGCAUAGCCGACCUGAGAGGGUGAUCGGCCACAUUGGGACUGAGACACGGCCCAAACUCCUACGGGAGGCAGCAGUAGGGAAUCUUCCGCAAUGGACGCAAGUCUGACGGAGCAACGCCGCGUGAGUGAAGAAGGUCUUCGGAUCGUAAAGCUCUGUUGUUAGAGAAGAACAGCGCAUAGAGUAACUGCUAUGCGUGUGACGGUAUCUAACCAGAAAGCCACGGCUAACUACGUG